GACGAACGCUGGCGGCGUGCUUAACACAUGCAAGUCGAGCGGUAAGGCCCUUUCGGGGGUACGACGAGCGGCGAACGGGUGAGUAACACGUGGGUGACCUGCCCUCAGCUCUGGGAUAAGCCUGGGGAAACCGGGUCUAAUACCGGAUAUGACUCCAUGACGCAUGUUGUGGGGUGGAAAGCCUUGUGCGGCUGAGGAUGGGCCCGCGGCCUAUCAGCUUGUUGGUGGGGUGAUGGCCUACCAAGGCGACGACGGGUAGCCGGCCUGAGAGGGCGACCGGCCACACUGGGGACUGAGACACGGCCCAGACUCCUACGGGAGGCAGCAGGUGGGGAAUCUUGCGCAAUGGGCGAAAGCCUGACGCAGCGACGCCGCGUGAGGGAUGACGGCCUGGUCGUAA
rnacentral:rRNA from 1 species